UGAACACGGCGCUCGGGCUGGUUCGCCGGUUGCCUCCGCCUCCGGGCACAACCAGCGUCUGCAGCUGCCGGACCAGCUCGGGCAUGCGGUCCCAGUGGCCCUCGGCGCGGCAGCGCUCCAGCUCGCUCUCCAUCUUCAGCGGAGUUCCUCUUUCCAGCCUGACUUGCCUGCACGACCUGGCUGGCCUGCCUCUUUGGACUCGCGUUACCCUGGAGUUCUUAACCGUGUUAAGCUGUUUUCCAACUUGGUGCAGGGCUUCGCCGCUGUCUGCUGUCUGACACAUGACCGUGGAAGGAAGCUUGGCCUCUCUCCGUGUCAGGAGACUCCGCCGCUUCGCACUUCUGGACAGCUGCAACUGUGGUAAGGGUUUUUUGACUGAGAGGAUAGGAGUGUCACAGAGACUGGGACAAGAGACGGCCAGCGAGAGAGGGAACACAAGCAGAGGAAGUGGGAGAGGAAGAAGCAGGCUCACAGCAGAGGAGCCUGAUGUGGGGCUCGAUCCCGCAACGCCGGGAUUGCGCUCCGAACCGAAGGCAGCCCGCGCGUAACCGCUAUGCCACCCAGGCGCCCCUCCUCUAUUUCUGGUUCAAGGCCAUUCACAAAAAGAUAAGAGAGCGAGCCAGGGUCAGGUCUGCUUCAGGAUCAACUCUUGUAUGCUGUCAAUAGGUAUUAACCUACACCUGAGGUCUCCAUCAGACUUCUCCUUUUUUGGCUUGAAAAACUGAACCAGAGCACAAUCUAUUUUCACAGGAAAGACAAAGGAUAGCCUCCAAAGACGCCGACCAACUGUGUAGCUUUUCUAAACUCCUUUGCUUCCCUGUGCAAUUGACAGCUUUUUAAGUCACCAUUGGGGGGGUGUUUCCAUUCUGACUUUUUCAUUGAACUUCUUGCAUCUGAAGUUCCUACUCACAUAGGAAUGAAUUGGAGUAUAUAUGGCUGCUCUGGGCUAUAAGUUCCUCAAAUGAUUCUAAAUUCCUCUGCAAUAUUUUCUCUCUGUAGUCUAGCCCCUGCAGAGUCUCUGGCAAUAGCUUUCAGCUGAGAAUGAAAUCAGAGCUUAAAAUCCACCAUAAGAGGUUUUCUCUGUUCCGCAGGGGGUUUACUUUAAAGAGGUAAGUGAGCUUUGGGGUACCUGGCUGGCCAGGAAGGAGGGGGAGUGGGUCAGGGGAAGAGAUAGAGGGGUAGCAGGAGAUGGAGAAGCAUAGCAUGGGGGAAGAGGAUAGUAGGCUUGAGUUGUGGUUUGGGGGGAAUCUAAAAGAUUUAACUUGUUCACAUUUUUCUUUUGCUUUGGCCAAGCAAUCCAUUAAUAGCAAUCCAGUUUCUUUUGGAUGCUUCCUCGUCCUAUGGGUGCUUGGAAUUAUGUUGCCUUUACAUUCUAAGGCACCUCUCAAAUAAAUAACUUAGUUCAUAUCAAAACUUCCUGGUGGUGGCCACUGUGAUUCUAAAUUAUCCUUGGUGACAUGAUGCUCUUUGGAAAGAUCAGUGCAUAUAUUUGGGUGCAGCAUGAAUAUACAUAAGAAGCAAAAAGUCUGGCCUGAGGAAGGCAUGGACUGAGGUUUGCACUGAGGCAGAGCCCUGAGGCCUGGAAAUGGUCAGUGAAGGGUUGCUUGUGCAUUCUGUGGGCUCAAGGCCCCCAGCCUCACACUAGACCUUAUCCAACCUCAACUCCAACGAAUUUAUACUCCCAGCAGAUAGAAUGUGUGGAGAGAUCUUUGCUGAACCUCAAAACAAGUCUGAGGAAAGUUCUCUGAAGUGGCCUAAGACAAAAUUUGUCCCUGGGCCAGGUUAGGGACAUACUUAUUGGGACCCAUAUCGGUCCUUGCCACUGUCAACUGGCUCUUACAGAUGCACAACCAAAAAUGAGCAGGAUGGAAAUAGACAAGGAGUAGUGUUGUUCCUAAUAAGGCAGAUAUCAACCAAGGAGAAAAGAUUUUCAAAUAUGGUCAGAUAAUCCAAGGAUUCCUGGAAGGGGUUUCUUAUUACUGGAGACAAAUAGACCCUGUAUUUCGGGAGCUCGGGCUCAAGGCAAGACUUACAUCUCUCACUGCCGUGGUCUAAAGACUCCUGGGGGGCCUGAAGGCCUCAGAGGAGCAUCCUUUCUGAGUCAGGGUCUUGACCACAGUGGUGAGGAGGUCUCAGCAGGCCUCAUAAUCGAAUGCUGCUCCCUGAAAACAGUGUCAAAACAACUUUGUGAGAGGGCAAAGCCGCGUGUGUUCUGAUCGCAGGAAGGGAAAACACAACUGUGCAGAGUCAUAGUAGCUUCUGUGUUGGGGGGCCACAUCGGGAUAUCUAUGAAGUGUUGGGUCUAUUUUAACGUGGCUUUUCCAAUGAGGAGCUUGGUUAGGACUGGGCAAGAAUCACGAUACAAUAGCUGAGUGAGGGUUUUAGGCAACGGUUUCCAAGAGUCUUAGAGAAUAAACAGUGGUUAGAUGCAGUCUAUUGAAAAGUUGCAAAGUUCAUUGAAAAGGUUACUUCUUGGGGCGCCUGGAUGGCUUAGUCGGUUAAGGGUCUGCCUUUGACUCAGGUCAUGAUCCCAGGAUCCUCCUGCUUAGCAUAGAGCCUGCUUCUCCCUUGCCCUCUGCUCCUCCCCCC